rnacentral:rRNA from 1 species
GAUGAACGCUGGCCGCAAGACUAAUACAUGCAAGUCGAGCGAACGGACGAGAAGCUUGCUUCUCUGAUGUUAGCGGCGGACGGGUGAGUAACACGUGGAUAACCUACCUAUAAGACUGGGAUAACUUCGGGAAACCGUAGCUAAUACCGGAUAAUAUUUUGAACCGCAUGGUUCAAAAGUGAAAGACGGUCUUGCUGUCACUUAUAGAUGGAUCCGCGCUGCAUUAGCUAGUUGGUAAGGUAACGGCUUACCAAGGCAACGAUGCAUAGCCGACCUGAGAGGGUGAUCGGCCACACUGGAACUGAGACACGGUCCAGACUCCUACGGGAGGCAGCAGUAGGGAAUCUUCCGCAAUGGGCGAAAGCCUGACGGAGCAACGCCGCGUGAGUGAUGAAGGUCUUCGGAUCGUAAAACUCUGUUAUUAGGGAAGAACAUAUGUGUAAGUAACUGUGCACAUCUUGACGGUACCUAAUCAGAAAGCCACGGCUAACUACGUGCCAGCAGCCGCGGUAAUACGUAGGUGGCAAGCGUUAUCCGGAAUUAUUGGGCGUAAAGCGCGCGUAGGCGGUUUUUUAAGUCUGAUGUGAAAGCCCACGGCUCAACCGUGGAGGGUCAUUGGAAACUGGAAAACUUGAGUGCAGAAGAGGAAAGUGGAAUUCCAUGUGUAGCGGUGAAAUGCGCAGAGAUAUGGAGGAACACCAGUGGCGAAGGCGACUUUCUGGUCUGUAACUGACGCUGAUGUGCGAAAGCGUGGGGAUCAAACAGGAUUAGAUACCCUGGUAGUCCACGCCGUAAACGAUGAGUGCUAAGUGUUAGGGGGUUUCCGCCCCUUAGUGCUGCAGCUAACGCAUUAAGCACUCCGCCUGGGGAGUACGACCGCAAGGUUGAAACUCAAAGGAAUUGACGGGGACCCGCACAAGCGGUGGAGCAUGUGGUUUAAUUCGAAGCAACGCGAAGAACCUUACCAAAUCUUGACAUCCUUUGACAACUCUAGAGAUAGAGCCUUCCCCUUCGGGGGACAAAGUGACAGGUGGUGCAUGGUUGUCGUCAGCUCGUGUCGUGAGAUGUUGGGUUAAGUCCCGCAACGAGCGCAACCCUUAAGCUUAGUUGCCAUCAUUAAGUUGGGCACUCUAAGUUGACUGCCGGUGACAAACCGGAGGAAGGUGGGGAUGACGUCAAAUCAUCAUGCCCCUUAUGAUUUGGGCUACAUACGUGCUACAAUGGACAAUACAAAGGGCAGCGAAACCGCGAGGUCAAGCAAAUCCCAUAAAGUUGUUCUCAGUUCGGAUUGUAGUCUGCAACUCGACUACAUGAAGCUGGAAUCGCUAGUAAUCGUAGAUCAGCAUGCUACGGUGAAUACGUUCCCGGGUCU